rnacentral:ncRNA from 1 species
ACAAUGGAACCCGUUGAGACUCGUAUACGCUGGGAAUAUGGCUCAGUGUCUCUACCGGUACCCGUAAAGUGCCGACUACGUGUCCUGUGAACCUGAAA